rnacentral:snRNA from 12 species
AGCUUUGCGCAGUGGCGGUAUCGUAGCCAAUGAGGUUGAUCUGAGGUGUGAUUAUUGCUAAUUGGAAAAAAAAAAAAGAAUGGAGUUCUGACACAUGCUACAAUACAGAUGAACUUUGAAGACAUUAUGCCAAGUGAAAUAAGCCAGUCAUAAAAGGACAAAUAUUGUAUGACUGUAAGGGGU